rnacentral:rRNA from 1 species
UACGGGGGGGGCAAGCGUUGUUCGGAAUUACUGGGCGUAAAGGGUUCGUAGGUGGCUGGCUAAGUCAGACGUGAAAUCCCUCGGCUUAACCGGGGAACUGCAUCUGAUACUGGAUGGCUUGAGUUCGGGAGAGGGAUGCGGAAUUCCAGGUGUAGCGGUGAAAUGCGUAGAUAUCUGGAGGAACACCGGUGGCGAAGGCGGCAUCCUGGACCGACACUGACGCUGAGGAGCGAAAGCCAGGGGAGCAAACGGG